rnacentral:misc_RNA from 1 species
GUUUUCCUUGCCUAUAAAUGCCAUCCACCUCCAUUGCAAUUCUCUUCACCUUUUCUUGAUCUCACAGUCAUCAAUUAAGCAAGUUGAGAGAAUAAAAAUGUGUUGGGUUUUCUUUUGUGAUGAUGAGGAGACAGAAUUGGGUAGGCAGCAAGCUUCUGGAUCAUGUCCCUACUGUGGAGGAAAAGUUCAAGCCAUGGAUGUUGAAAGAAAAUGGAGUUUCUGCUUUUUACCCAUUUGUUACAAGAUCAAGAGAAAGUAUUUUUGCACUUUAUGUGCCAGGCGAUUGGAAUUAUAUCACUAGAAAACCAUGGAGUUCAAGAAGAGCUAUAGCUGGAGCUUUGCCGAUCCAAGAAAUCAGAAGCUUCUAUGGUGAUAAUUUCAAGACCGUGUGUUUCAUCCUCUUCUUUGAAUUUGUUUUAUAUUGUAAAUAUUUUGUUAAACUUUUAAUAUACCCAUUUCAAGUAACUUCAAUUUCUUGUGUUUUGAAUUUCUGGGUUCUUGUUUAAAUUGAUUGUUGGUUCGAAAUUAUGUAAGUUUUUGGAUCUGCUGGUGGAAGAAACAAGGAUCUGAAAUGGGUUUUGUUUGGUGUUAACAAGGAUACUGGUUUAGGAUCAUUCUUUGAUCUGUUUAUCUUUGAAUACAAAUCUGUAAAGCAUUUUCAAAAGUUAAUUACAGAGUUGUGAUAUGAAGCAACCUGAAAUAAAAUCCAAUCCAUGUACUUGAUGAUAGGGGAAGGUAAGAGCUUUGGGCAGAGAGACAGACAGAGAGUGUUCUGUGGGUUACAAAAACAGGGCAGUUUGUCUCAGGAAAACAAAUAUUCCUUGUCUAUGAAAGGGAUCUAUUUC